AGGUUCGCACAGAGGCGACAUCGUAACCAAUGAAGUUCUCCCGCGGUGCGAUUAUUGUUAGUUGAAACUUUUCAAAAGCUCCUCCAUAUGACUUCGUAGGCUUCUCUUACCCUACAUUUCCAAAUUGUAAAUCUUAGUUUUUAUUGAAA
rnacentral:snRNA from 1 species